UACGUAGGGGGCAAGCGUUGUCCGGAAUUAUUGGGCGUAAAGAGCUCGUAGGCGGUCUGUCGCGUCUGCUGUGAAAACUCGGGGCUUAACCCCGGGCCUGCAGUGGGUACGGGCAGACUAGAGUGCGGUAGGGGAGACUGGAAUUCCUGGUGUAGCGGUGAAAUGCGCAGAUAUCAGGAGGAACACCGGUGGCGAGGGCGGGUCUCUGGGCCGAUACUGACGCUGAGGAGCGAAAGCGUGGGGAGCGAACAGG
rnacentral:rRNA from 1 species